UACGAAGGGGGCUAGCGUUGCUCGGAUUUACUGGGCGUAAAGGGCGCGUAGGCGGCCAGCACAAGUCAGUUGUGAAAUCUCCGAGCUUAACUCGGAAAGGUCAACUGAUACUGUGCGGCUAGAGUGCGGAAGGGGCAACUGGAAUUCUCGGUGUAGCGGUGAAAUGCGUAGAUAUCGAGAGGAACACCUGCGGCGAAGGCGGGUUGCUGGCCGAACACUGACGCUGGAUGCGCGAAAGCUAGGGAGCAAACGGG
rnacentral:rRNA from 1 species